AGGGCUGAGCGUGCCCACGCCGGACCGCUCGCGCGGCUCGGCACGGAGAGGCCGGGCAGGACGUCCGGCGACCCGCAGCCCGCCGGGCCGCCCGCCGGUGUGGCCUGCUGGGCGGGAAUCCUGCCCCAGCACGCCGGUUCUCCCGGACAACCUGGGGUUGCAGCAGCCAUCAGUGCCUGCCUGCCUGCCCGCCUGCCUCUCACCCGGAGAGGUCAAGGCUUUUCCGAAGGGCUUCUGGGGUUUCUCCGGGGCUUGUUGGCCUGCCACUGACUUAGCGGGGCGCCGCCUCCUUCGAAAGUCACCGAGCGUUCGUUACCCGUUGCUGCAUCACACGUCUACCCCCAGGAGCCGCGCAGCGCGGCCGGCGCUCGAGGUCUCGCAGGUGUCUGAGGGCCAGGGUCCUGGAGGGCUUGGCUGGGGCUCCUGGCUGGAGGUGUGUCACAGGCUGCCGUCGAGGCAUCAGUCGGGGCCAGUCUGGUCGG
rnacentral:lncRNA from 9 species